AAAAAAAGAAAAAAAGAAAAGAAAAGCGCAGGCGCGGGGUGUCUUGAGUCCCUCAAUCCCCAGAGGGAAGGAGCCCACCGUGGGGGACCGGCCAAAGCCCCACUCUUUGUCCGGCCCAGGGCAAAUCGGCCCCUCGGCAGCUCAGCCCGUCCAGCCCCUCCCGAGAGGACACAGGGGACCCGGAGUCCGCAGGGGCCAGCACUACCCUCCGCCCCGGGUCCCGCUCCCUACUCCCCGUCGCUCCGAGACGCUCCGACUCUCAGUCCGGAGGCUUUCUGUAUGAUUGCCUUCAAGUGCUGGGGAUUUUUUUCAUUGAAUGAAAGUAACAGGAAGUGUCCAUUUCAAAGUUUCCUUUGCUGGAGUGCAAUGGCACGAUCUUGGCCCACUGCAGCCUCUUCCUCCCGGGUUCAAGGGAUUCUCCUGCCUCAGCCUCACGAGUAGCUGGGAUUACAAGCAUGCGCCACCAUGCCUGACUAAUUUUUUGUAUUUUUAGUAGAGAUGGGGUUUCACCAUGUUGGCCAGGCUAGUCUAGAACUCCUGACCUCAAGUCAUCACCCACCUCAGCCUCCCAAAAUGCUGGGAUUACAGGGGUGAGCCACUUCGCCUGGCUUAUUUCUCUGUCUCACAGUUCUGGAGGCUGGAAAGCCCAAGUUCAAGAUACCAGCAGAUUUGGUCCCUGGUGAGAGGUAUGGCUCGUAGAAGGUGCCAUCUUGCCACAUCCUCACCUCUGGGCCUCUUUGAUAAGGGCACCAAUCCCAUUCAUAAGGGUGCCACCCUCUCAUCAAAUCACCUUCCAAAGGCCCCCGCCUCCAAAGAUCAUCACCUUAAGGUGUAGGAUUUCAACAGAUGACCUUUAGUGGGGACACAAACAUUUGGAUAGUAGCAUGCCCUUAGGAGAUGCCUAAGAGGCCCCUUGACCUUGACCUACCCCUGGCACUGGGUGGAGCAAGCCCACAGCAGUACAUGGAGCCAAGUUAGACCUUGGUCCAGAGCUCCUCACUGGAGGACCCUGGUCUGCCGGGCCAUAGCGCCCCCAGCUGGAGUGGACCAGGAAGCCCUCCCCCUUCUCCGUGAGACCUGGAGGAAUGCAGAGUAUGUGAGCUUUGGGGUCAGGCCUCUGCCCUCUUUGUGGCUCAGUGUCCUCAACUGCAGAAUGACUGGUGGUGUUGUAAAACAGGUGACAUUGCUGUCAGGAUUCCAAAUGUCACCUGAGAAGCACCUGGAUUGGUUGGGUGGUUCAUGUUCAACUGAGCUUCCCCAUUCUGCUGCAGUCCUUGCUUUUGCCUUGCCUGGAGGGGUAGGGGAGCUGGGAGCAGGGCUGCCUCCUUUCUCUGGGCAGGAAUCCCAGGGCAUGGGAGCUUCAGGCCUUAGUGAAUACCUGGGCUGACUGCCUCAUCACAUAGACACUUUGUAGAUGGAGGCCCAGAGCAAGGCAGGGUCAGGUCCUAAGUCCCGGGGAAGGUCAGGAGAGCUGAGAAGCAGACAGGGGGUCCCAUCUAUUCCUGACGUGUUGGCUUUGCUGGAGAGGGGCAUUACCUACAGUCCUGCCCUAACUGCCCUCCACCCCCACCUCACGCUCAGGGCUGCGGCGGAACUGAGGCUUCUGGAGGGGACAGCUGGGGUCAGAACCUCUAGCCUCCUGUACCCAUCCAUCCCUCCUGCAUUGCAUGACCAGUCUUAGGACUAAUGACAGGAGGGCCAGGCUCUGGCACAGGAAUUUGAGGCUGUGACCGAAGGCCCGAGAUGAGUCACCCUGCCACCAGCCACAGGCAUUCAUAUUCUCUUCCUGUCCACCGGCAUUCAUUCUUGGCCAGCCACACUGGACAUCUGUCAUCCCCAGUGUGACCCAGAUGUGGGCAGGACAGGAGCAGGGCUGAGGACUCACCCCCUCUUCGUCACUGCAUGUAGACAGCAGCUGGGGGCCCUCCCCACUUUCCAGAGACAAAGAGAGGACCCAGCUGGGCAAGGGUUUCAUGGUCCAGCUCUCUCAGCCCCCCAUCCAGCCUCCAGUGGGACAGGCACAUGAUAUCAUGGUUGAGACUGCAAGCUUUGGCAUCAGACAGCCAGUGCACAAGACUCGCAAGCAUCAUUUCAUCUCUCAGAGCUUCACUUUUUAUAUCUGUACCAUGGGGGAGAAAACAGUUGUGUGAGGGGCAUUGUGAAGUUAAAUGUGAUGAACAGAAAGCACCCAGCCCAGUGCCUGGCAGUACUGCCCUUAUCCCUGAUCCCAUCUCUCUCUCUCUCUCUCUCAGUCCCUGUCUCUGUGUCUCCCACUCUCACUGCUACGCAUAGCCCCAUCUGCAACUGGGAUCCAGCUCUUGGCUGCCAGCACAGAGUUAUAAACAUUUCUUAUCUUGAACUCAGUGUUCAGGCCCCAGGGAGACUUCUUUGUAUCUCUUGAACAAUUCUCUCAAAAGAGAAGUUACUGCCUUGCCCAUGGUACAAAGAGUUGUGGCUGUGCCCUGCUCACAUCAGACACAGACACUACUUGGAAGAAUGGAGAGGACUGGUGGCUGAGGCACUUGGGAAGGAGGAAAAGUGAAUUCAUGUGUCAAAACAUCAUCAGAUGGCAUGGAUGCUUGCAUAAGGAAGUGCUAUUUUCCAGGAGUCGUAAAUGUUCAUUUCCUUGCGGUCUUCAAAUUUCAGUUCCCAGUACUUGUGAUAUGAUGUGGGACUGAUUGGCAACGUCUAUAAGUGAACGCUAAGGACCACUUU
rnacentral:lncRNA from 10 species